AUUAAAACCCUAGCUUCAAAUGUUACUUAAUUAUUACUUUCACCAAAUACCUAUAAAACUAAUUACAGAAUAAAGAAAGAAUCAUCGAAGAAAACGAAAACGCAAUCACAUUAAAAGAUGAAAUAUGUUGAAUUAGAGUUGUUCCAGUAAUCGCUGACUAGCAUCGUCGCUAUGAACAGUUGGAAAAACAGUUGAGUAGUUCGUUGGGUUUGGCGGGAAAUUGAAUCCACUAUGUUUUGAAGAAGUAAUGAUAAGUCAUUUAAAUGAUAGAGAGAAUAAAGAAUAAGCGGAUCCGUGGCGUAAUGGUAGCGCGUCUGACUCCAGAUCAGAAGGUUGCGUGUUCGAUUCACGUCGGGUUCAAUUCCCAAUUCGCUUA